UACAGAGACCUCAAGCAUUAUCCGGAUUUAUUGGGCGUAAAGGGUCCGCAGGCGGCUAUGCACGUCAUCGGUUAAAUCUAAGGGCUCAACCCUUAAACCGCCGGUGAUACGGCAUGGCUCGAGUGUGGGAGAGGUGAGCGGAACUGCCGGUGUAGUAGUAAAAUGCGUUAAUAUCGGCAAGAACACCAAAUGCGAAGGCAGCUCACUGGAACACAACUGACGCUCAGGGACGAAAGCGUGGGGAGCAAAAGGG
rnacentral:rRNA from 1 species